rnacentral:rRNA from 1 species
GUAGGUGAAAGCUUACAUCUCUUCGGAGCAGUUUUACGAGGUGCUGCAUGGUUGUCGUCAGCUCGUGCCGUGAGGUGUCGGGUUAAGUCCCAUAACGAGCGCAACCCCUACCUUUAGUUGCCAUCAGGUUAAGCUGGGGACUCUAAAGGAACUGCCUACGCAAGUAGUGAGGAAGCGGGGAUGACGUCAAAUCAGCACGGCCCUUACGUCCAGGGCUACACACGUGCUACAAUGGCCGAUACAGAGGGCAGCUACCUGGUGACAGGAUGCAAAUCUCCAAAGUCGGUCUCAGUUCGGAUCGGAGUCUGCAACCCGACUCCGUGAAGUUGGAUUCGCUAGUAAUCGCGCAUCAGCCAUGGCGCGGUGAAUACGUUCCCGGGCCUU